GAUGAACGCUGGCGGCGUGCCUAAUACAUGCAAGUCGAGCGAACAGACGAGGAGCUUGCUCCUCUGACGUUAGCGGCGGACGGGUGAGUAACACGUGUAUCACCUACCUAUAAGUCUGGGAUAACUUCGGGAAACCGGAUCUAAUACCGGAUAAUAUAUUGAACCGCAUGGUUCAAUAGUGAAAGACGGUUUUGCUGUCACUUAUAGAUGGAUCCGCGCCGCAUUAGCUAGUUGUUAAGGUAACGGCUUACCAAGGCAACGAGGCGUAGCCGACCUGAGAGGGUGAUCGGCCACACUGGAACUGAGACACGGUCCAGACUCCUACGGGAGGCAGCAGUAGGGAAUCUUCCGCAAUGGGCGAAAGCUUGACGGAGCAACGCCGCGUGAGUGAUGAAGGUCUUCGGAUCGUAAAACUCUGUUAUUAGGGAAGAACAAAUGUGUAAGGAACUAUGCACGUCUUGACGGUACCUAAUCAGAAAGCCACGGCUAACUACGUG
rnacentral:rRNA from 1 species